CCAGACUCCUACGGGAGGCAGCAGUGGGGAAUAUUGCACAAUGGGGGAAACCCUGAUGCAGCAACGCCGCGUGAGUGAAGAAGUAUUUCGGUAUGUAAAGCUCUAUCAGCAGGGAAGAAAAUGACAGUACCUGACUAAGAAGCCCCGGCUAACUACGUGCCAGCAGCCGCGGUAAUACGUAGGGGGCAAGCGUUAUCCGGAUUUACUGGGUGUAAAGGGAGCGUAGACGGCUGCGCAAGUCAGAAGUGAAAGCCCGGGGCUCAACCGCGGGACUGCUUUUGAAACUGUGUAGCUAGAGUGCAGGAGAGGUAAGUGGAAUUCCUAGUGUAGCGGUGAAAUGCGUAGAUAUCAGGAGGAACACCGGCGGCGAAGGCGGCCUGCUGGACCGCGACUGACGUUGAGGCUCGAAAGCGUGGGGAGCGAACAGGAUUAGAUACCCUUGUAUC
rnacentral:rRNA from 1 species